CAGGGUACAGGGAUCAUGGUUGACUGAAGUUGCUGACCCUGCAAAUGUGCAUGCUGAUGGGCACGUAGAUACGAAAGGGGCACAGUGAGGACCAUGACGCUGAUGGCAGGCAUGUGGGUGCAAAUGCAGAUGAGUGCAUUGUACAGGAUUGUGAGUUUCCUGAGGCCUUCCACUCAUGCUUCCUGUACAGCCUGUGGACUGUGAGUCAAUUAAACUGUGAUUCUGAUGUGCAACUCUGGUUGAGAACCACUGGACUCAACAGGCCAACGAGACACAUUCCCAAACGCAAUGCUUGUUGCUGGAAAUUCAAGACACUCCAUUCUGUGCCUCCUCCAGUCCAUACGGGCAUACACACCAGGACCAGUUGUUAAGGUAGAAGGGGAGAGAGAACACUGGAUAGGCUACUGGCAGUCUGAUUUCCCUUGUGGUCAUAAGAUGCCUGUCAGCGGGAACUGUGGCAACAUGUUUUCUUGUUUACACUCAGGGGAGAGAGACUGGACUGGCUUUUCUUCCUCCAGAAGCUCUGAGUUAGCACCUCUUUGUGUCUCACUGGCUCAAAAUGGAUAAGGCACGCCCAUUACAGAACCAGUUUCUAGCAAGCGGAGUGGAAUUAUUGUGAUUGGCUUACUAAUGUUUCUCAAACUUUAUUGUGCAUAGGAAUUGCCCGGGAAUCUUGUUAAAAUGCAGAUUCUGAUUAAGCUGAUCUGGCAUGGGGCCAAGAUUCUGCAUUUCUAACAAGCUCCCAGGUGACGAGAAUGGCUGUUGGGGUGUCAAUUACAAUGUCCACCUCAACUACCAAGCACACGAGAUAUUUACAUUAGCUUGAGGAGUAUAUUCUUUCCUUGUAGGUAAAUCUAAAGAGAAGCCAAUUAUAAUCAGAAGUGCUUAAUGAGCAUGGCAGAUUGCAAAGCAUAUGUGAAGGCACAGAAGCAAGAAACUGCUCACUGUGCAUAGGGAAUCAUGAGC
rnacentral:lncRNA from 10 species